rnacentral:rRNA from 1 species
AGGAUGUUACGAUUGUGUGAAUACAUAGCACAUUCGAGGUAGACGCAGAGAACUGAAACAUCUAAGUACCUGCAGGAAGAGAAAGAAAAUUCGAUUCCCUGAGUAGCGGCGAGCGAAACGGGAAAAGCCCAAACCAGCAAGCUUGCUUGUUGGGGUUGUAGGACUCCAAUAUGGUAGUUCUUUCAGAUAGUCGAAUGACUUGGAAAAGUCAGUCAAAGAGGGUAAAAACCCCGUAGACGAAAUGUGGAAGACACCUAGGAGGAUCCUGAGUACGGCGGAACACGAGAAAUUCCGUCGGAAUCCGGGAGGACCAUCUCCCAAGGCUAAAUACUCCCUAGUGACCGAUAGUGAACCAGUACCGUGAGGGAAAGGUGAAAAGCACCCCGGAAGGGGAGUGAAAUAGAACCUGAAACCGUGUGCCUACAACAAGUCAAAGCCCGUUAAUGGGUGAUGGCGUGCCUUUUGUAGAAUGAACCGGCGAGUUACGAUUGCAUGCGAGGUUAAGUUGAAGAGACGGAGCCGCAGCGAAAGCGAGUCUGAAUAGGGCGUUUGAGUAUGUAGUCGUAGACCCGAAACCAUGUGAUCUACCCAUGUCCAGGUUGAAGGUGCGGUAAAACGCACUGGAGGACCGAACCCACGUACGUUGAAAAGUGCGGGGAUGAGGUGUGGGUAGCGGAGAAAUUCCAAACGAACUUGGAGAUAGCUGGUUCUCUCCGAAAUAGCUUUAGGGCUAGCCUCGGAAUUGAGAAUGAUGGAGGUAGAGCACUGUUUGGACUAGGGGCCCAUCUCGGGUUACCGAAUUCAGAUAAACUCCGAAUGCCAUUCAUUCAUAUCCGGGAGUCAGACUGUGAGUGAUAAGAUCCAUAGUCGAAAGGGAAACAGCCCAGACCACCAGCUAAGGUCCCAAAAUAUAUGUUAAGUGGAAAAGGAUGUGGGGUUGCACAGACAACUAGG